rnacentral:rRNA from 1 species
AUUGAACGCUGGCGGCAUGCUUUACACAUGCAAGUCGAACGGUAACAGGCCUUCGGGCGCUGACGAGUGGCGAACGGGUGAGUAAUGCAUCGGAACGUGCCCAGUCGGGGGGGAUAACGCAGCGAAAGCUGUGCUAAUACCGCAUACGAUCUAUGGAUGAAAGCGGGGGACCGUAAGGCCUCGUGCGAUUGGAGCGGCCGAUGUCAGAUUAGGUGGUUGGUGGGGUAAAGGCUCACCAAGCCAACGAUCUGUAGCUGGUCUGAGAGGACGACCAGCCACACUGGAACUGAGACACGGUCCAGACUCCUACGGGAGGCAGCAGUGGGGAAUUUUGGACAAUGGGCGCAAGCCUGAUCCAGCAAUGCCGCGUGCAGGAAGAAGGCCUUCGGGUUGUAAACUGCUUUUGUACGGAACGAAACGGCGAGCUCUAAUACAGUUUGCUAAUGACGGUACCGUAAGAAUAAGCACCGGCUAACUACGUGCCAGCCGCCGCCGUAACAC